rnacentral:rRNA from 1 species
CCUACGGGAGGCAGCAGUGAGGAAUAUUGGUCAAUGGGCGGAAGCCUGAACCAGCCAAGUAGCGUGCGGGAUGAAGGCCCUACGGGUCGUAAACCGCUUUUGCACGGGGAUAACACCCUCCACUUGUGGAGGUCUGCAGGUACCGUGCGAAUAAGGGCCGGCUAAUUCCGUGCCAGCAGCCGCGGUAAUACGGAAGGCCCGAGCGUUAUUCGGAUUCAUUGGGCUUAAAGGGAGCGUAGGCGGGCGUUCAAGUCAGCUGUAAAAGCGCGCGGCUCAACCGCGCCCCGCAGUUGAAACUGGACGCCUUGAGUGCACAACAGGCAGGCGGAAUUCGUGGUGUAGCGGUGAAAUGCAUAGAUAUCACGAGGAACCCCGAUUGCGAAGGCAGCCUGCCGGGGUGCGACUGACGCUGAGGCUCGAAGGUGCGGGUAUCAAACAGGAUUAGAUACCCGAGUAGUC